AUUGAACGCUGGCGGCAUGCCUUACACAUGCAAGUCGAACGGUAACAGGUCUUCGGAUGCUGACGAGUGGCGAACGGGUGAGUAAUGCAUCGGAACGUGCCCAGUCGUGGGGGAUAACGCAGCGAAAGCUGCGCUAAUACCGCAUACGAUCUAUGGAUGAAAGCGGGGGACCGUAAGGCCUCGCGCGAUUGGAGCGGCCGAUGUCAGAUUAGGUAGUUGGUGGGGUAAAGGCCCACCAAGCCAACGAUCUGUAGCUGGUCUGAGAGGACGACCAGCCACAGUGGGACUGAGACACGGCCCAGACUCCUACGGGAGGCAGCAGUGGGGAAUUUUGGACAAUGGGCGCAAGCCUGAUCCAGCAAUGCCGCGUGCAGGAAGAAGGCCUUCGGGUUGUAAACUGCUUUUGUACGGAACGAAACGGCUCUCUCUAAUACAGAGGGCUAAUGACGGUACCGUAAGAAUAAGCACCGGCUAACUACGUGCCAGCAGCCGCAGUAACAC
rnacentral:rRNA from 1 species